AGUGAACGCUGGCGGCAGGCCUAAUACAUGCAAGUCGAACGGCAGCACAGCAGAGCUUGCUCUGUGGGUGGCGAGUGGCGGACGGGUGAGGAAUACAUGGGAAUCUGCCCAGUCGUGGGGGAUAACGUAUGGAAACGUACGCUAAUACCGCAUGCGCCCUACGGGGGAAAGUCGGGGACCGCAAGGCCUGACGCGAUUGGAUGAGCCCAUGUUCGAUUAGCUAGUUGGCGGGGUAAAGGCCCACCAAGGCGACGAUCGAUAGCUGGUCUGAGAGGAUGAUCAGCCACACUGGAACUGAGACACGGUCCAGACUCCUACGGGAGGCAGCAGUAGGGAAUAUUGGACAAUGGGGGCAACCCUGAUCCAGCCAUGCCGCGUGAGUGAAGAAGGCC
rnacentral:rRNA from 1 species